rnacentral:tRNA from 1 species
CGUUCUAUUGCCGAAUUGGUAAAGGCAUCGCCGAUCACAGGCGAGGGUGCGGGUUCGAGUCCCGGUGGAACGA